CCUUCCUUAGCUCAGUUGGAAGAGCAUCAGACUGUAAUUGGAUAAUAUAUGGGGGUCGCCUGUUCGAACCAGGCAGGAAGGA
rnacentral:tRNA from 1 species